rnacentral:pre_miRNA from 1 species
UGCUCCUAACUUUCCAAUAAAGUAUGUUUUGGGGCUGAAACUUUCCAUGCUUAGUUUCGGCUCGAAGGUGAAUUUAUUUUGGAAAGUUCACAC